UAGGGAAUCUUCCGCAAUGGACGCAAGUCUGACGGAGCAACGCCGCGUGAGUGAAGAAGGAUUUCGGUUCGUAAAACUCUGUUGUUAGAGAAGAACAGCGCAUAGAGUAACUGUUAUGCGUGUGACGGUAUCUAACCAGAAAGCCACGGCUAACUACGUGCCAGCAGCCGCGGUAAUACGUAGGUGGCAAGCGUUGUCCGGAUUUAUUGGGCGUAAAGCGAGCGCAGGCGGUCAAUUAAGUCUGAUGUGAAAGCCCCCGGCUCAACCGGGGAGGGUCAUUGGAAACUGGUUGACUUGAGUGCAGAAGAGGAGAGUGGAAUUCCAUGUGUAGCGGUGAAAUGCGUAGAUAUAUGGAGGAACACCAGUGGCAAAGGCGACUCUCUGGUCUGUAACUGACGCGGAGGCUCGAAAGCGUGGGUAGCAAACAGG
rnacentral:rRNA from 1 species